CCUCUUUGCCGUACUCAUAUUAAUUUUUCAAGGGAGAUGGGUGUAUUCGUCGCAGUAUACACAAGAAUCUCAUUGUCCAGGGGUAUACACCGACCAUGAAGAAAUGGAUUUAAAAGGGUGCAACUUGGAUACUUUUCCACCGUUGGGAGCGAGAUUACACACUUCUGUAACGUCCAUAAAUUUGGAAGAUAACGCUCUCACCGUCAUCACUAAAAAAAAGCUUGCUGGCCUUUCCAGCUUGACUUAUUU